rnacentral:tRNA from 1 species
GUCCCAGGUGGUGCGCGGGAGAGUGACGCCGGCGGCCUUCCAGGCGGCCUGGGUGAGGCCGGAGCAGUCGUAGGAGUCGGGUCCUGAGGCGCC